rnacentral:rRNA from 1 species
UUGGGACUAAGUCGUAACAAGGUAACCGUAGGUGAACCUGCAGAAGGAUCA